ensembl:lncRNA
GCGGAGUUCAGCCAGUGAAACACUUCAUGUGUUAAACUUGUUAAAGGGGAAGUGAUGAAGCUGAAGGCGUCUCGCUGCUGCUCAGACUGAUGUUCAGUCGUCAUCCAGACACGAUGAAGACUCCGUGUGUCUCUCUGCUCCUCGGUGUGUGUGUGCUGCUGCUGUCUGCACCGACUGUUUCUGCAGUGUCUCUGUCUGUCAGUCCAAACCUUCAGCAGUUCUUCAGAGGAUCUUCUCCAGUGUAUCUGAGUUGUGUUGAUGAUGGACAGACAGCUGAUGGAUGGACAGUGAAGAGGACCAGAGGAAACCUCACUGAGGACUGUGGAGCAGCUGGUUCAGAGUUUAGUAGGUUUAACAGUUCCUUCUGUGGUCUCGGUCUCUCCACUGGUGGAAAUUUCCUGUGUGUAAGCUCAUCUGGACAGCAGAGUGAUGAAGUCUCCAUCAGUGUCUCAGAAGGAGGUGUGAUCCUGGAGAUUCCUGCACUUCCUGUCAUGACAGGAAGUGAUGCCACUUUGUACUGUACACCCAAAGAGGGAGAAAGACGAAAAUCUUACUUCAUCAGAGAUGAUGUUACACUUGGAUCUGGACCUGAAGGAAAGUGGAUUCUCUCUAAAGUCCAGCGGUCUGAUGAAGGUCUCUACUCGUGUUUUACUGAUAUUCAUCCACGUUCUCCUCAGAGCAGACUGAGGGUCAGAGUUCCUCCCAAAAUCAUCCAUCCUCCUCCUCACUGUCCUCCUCCUCCAUGCAACUCCACAAACGUUGCUCCUCCUGUAGAAACUCCUUUUACUCAUCCUCCCUGUUCUUCUCCUCCUCCUGCUCCUCCUCCCUCUCUCCUGGUCCCAGUUGUAGCAGGUCUGGUCUCUGGGCUUCUCCUGGUUCUGGUUCUGGGUGGAGUUCUGUUCCUCUGCAGUAAACUAAAAGGAGGUCGGGGAGCAGACCUGUGGAGCUGUGGAGGUGACGGCUGUCUGAGACGGAGCGUCUGCCUCUGCUUUUCAGGCCUGUUUCUGCUGACUGCUGCAGGUGUGUGUGUGCUGCUGCUGUCUGCUCUGACCGUUUCCACAGCUUCUCCUCCCUGUGAGUCUGUGCUGAGGCUCUUCUGCCAUCUAGUGGUCUUCUCUCCGUACUGCAUCUCCACUGGUCUGCUGCUGUCCAUCUGUUGGAGCAGGAGGACACCGAACAAACCGGCCGUCUCCAUGGAGAUGAUCCAGCGUGAUGGAGGUGGUCAGGGACUGGCUGAAGAUGGUGAUGAUGUCACUGCUGAUGUCACCACUGAGCAUGCCUUCUGAGCUGCAGACUGUGUGUCAGGGUACCAGCAUCUGCAGUAUUUCUGUAUCUUGGUUCCCCUUUUGCUGUAUUGGAGAAAAGUUCCAGUGUUUACUGUCAGUGUGGAUUAGUUAGGUUUGAGUUUAUCGCUUCAUCCCUGUUUCCUGUGUAAGUCUGUCCUCUGUUAAGUUAUGUCUCCUGUGUCUCAUCUCCCUUUGUUUCAUGUUUUCAUUCCAUGUCUCCUCUGUCUGUAUUGUGCCUCCUGUACAUUCUCUCCAGUCCAUCAUGUGCGUCUCCUCUCGUUGUCUUCCAAGUUCGUCUAGUUCUUCCCUCCCGUCUCCUGUGUCAUGUUGUGUGAAUUAAUGUUUCCUGUUUUACUUUGACAGUGUCACGCCCUGUGUUCAGUUUUUGUAGUUUUGCUUCCUGUGUGUCGUCAGGUCCACUCUCCCUAAUUACCCUUGUGUGCUUAUAUUGUCUGUUUUCCUCUGUGUCUCAUCUCAUGGUCCAGUUUUCCUUGUUUUUUUGCUUUAUUUUCCCCAGUUUAGUCAGUGAGUCUCAGUUUCACAUUUUAUGUAUGUCAACAUUCCAGCCUCAAUAAAUGACUGUCUUUCUGUUCAACCUCA